UACGUAGGGGGCAAGCGUUGUCCGGAUUUAUUGGGCGUAAAGAGCUCGUAGGCGGCUUGUCGUCGUCGACUGUGAAAACCCGCGGCUCAACCCGUGUGGUCUGCAGUCGAUACGGGCAGGCUAGAGUUCGGUAGGGGAGACGUGGAAUUCCUGGUGUAGGCGGUGAAAUGCGCAGAUAUCAGGAGGAACACCGGUGGCGAAGGCGGGUCUCUGGGCCGAUACUGACGCUGAGGAGCGAAAGCGUGGGGAGCGAACAGG
rnacentral:rRNA from 1 species